GGGAACUGCGUUNUGAACUGGGUGACUAGAGUGUGUCAGAGGGAGGUAGAAUUCCACGUGUAGCAGUGAAAUGCGUAGAGAUGUGGAGGAAUACCGAUGGCGAAGGCAGCCUCCUGGGAUAACACUGACGUUCAUGCCCGAAAGCGUGGGUAGCAAACAGGAUUAGAUACCCUGGUAGUCCACGCCCUAAACGAUGUCGAUUAGCUGUUGGGCAGCAUGACUGCUUAGUAGCGAAGCUAACGCGUAAAAUCGACCGCCUGGGGAGUACGGUCGCAAGAUUAAAACUCAAAGGAAUUGACGGGGACCCGCACAAGCGGUGGAUGAUGUGGAUUAAUUCGAUGCAACGCGAAGAACCUUACCUGGUCUUGACAUGUACGGAACCCUCCAGAGACGGAGGGGUGCCUUCGGGAGCCGUAACACAGGUGCUGCAUGGCUGUCGUCAGCUCGUGUCGUGAGAUGUUGGGUUAAGUCCCGCAACGAGCGCAACCCUUGUCAUUAGUUGCCAUCAUUAAGUUGGGCACUCUAAUGAGACUGCCGGUGACAAGCCGGAGGAAGGUGGGGAUGACGUCAAGUCCUCAUGGCCCUUAUGACCAGGGCUUCACACGUCAUACAAUGGUCGGUACAGAGGGUAGCCAAGCCGCGAGGUGGAGCCAAUCUCACAAAACCGAUCGUAGUCCGGAUUGCACUCUGCAACUCGAGUGCAUGAAGUCGGAAUCGCUAGUAAUCGCAGGUCAGCAUACUGCGGUGAAUACGUUCCCGGGUCUUGUACACACCGCCCGUCACACCAUGGGAGUGGGGGAUACCAGAAGUAGGU
rnacentral:rRNA from 1 species